rnacentral:rRNA from 1 species
AGUGAACGCUGGCGGUAGGCCUAACACAUGCAAGUCGAACGGCAGCACAGUAAGAGCUUGCUCUUACGGGUGGCGAGUGGCGGACGAGUGAGGAAUACAUCGGAAUCUACUUUUUCGUGGGGGAUAACGUAGGGAAACUUACGCUAAUACCGCAUACGACCUACGGGUGAAAGCAGGGGAUCUUCGGACCUUGCGCGAUUGAAUGAGCCGAUGUCGGAUUAGCUAGUUGGCGGGGUAAAGGCCCACCAAGGCGACGAUCCGUAGCUGGUCUGAGAGGAUGAUCAGCCACACUGGAACUGAGACACGGUCCAGACUCCUACGGGAGGCAGCAGUGGGGAAUAUUGGACAAUGGGCGAAAGCCUGAUCCAGCCAUGCCGCGUGGGUGAAGAAGGUCUUCGGAUUGUAAAGCCCUUUUGGUGGGAAAGAAAAGCAGUAGGUUAAUACCCCGCUGUUCUGACGGUACCCAAAGAAUAAGCACCGGCUAACUUCGUG